GGACCCAUAGCUCAGCGGUAGAGCAUCUGAUUCCAGUUCAAUGGUAUAUUCUGCAUCCAGAAGGUCAUCCGUUCAAAUCGGGUUGGGUUCA
rnacentral:tRNA from 1 species